AUGGCGGCAUGCUUCACAUGCUGAUCGAACGGCAGCGCGGACUUCGGUCUGGCGGCGAGUGGCGAACGGGUGAGUAAUACAUCGGAACGUACCCUGUUGUGGGGGAUAACUAGUCGAAAGAUUAGCUAAUACCGCAUACGACCUGAGGGUGAAAGUGGGGGACCGAAAGGCCUCAUGCUAUAGGAGCGGCCGAUGUCUGAUUAGCUAGUUGGUGAGGUAAAGGCUCACCAAGGCGACGAUCAGUAGCUGGUCUGAGAGGACGAUCAGCCACACUGGGACUGAGACACGGCCCAGACUCCUACGGGAGGCAGCAGUGGGGAAUAUUGGACAAUGGGCGAAAGCCUGAUCCAGCAAUGCCGCGUGUGUGAAGAAGGCCUUCGGGUUGUAAAGCACUAAAUGUCCGGAAAGAAAUGGCUCUGGUUAAUACCUGGGGAAAGAUGACGGAACCGGCAGAAUAAGGACCGGGCUAACUACG
rnacentral:rRNA from 1 species